rnacentral:lncRNA from 1 species
CAAUGGUGUUAUCAGAGCUCACUGCAGCCUUAACCUCCUGGGCUCAAGUGAUUCUCCCACCUCAGUCUCCCUGGGACUACAGAGUAGGAAGGAGAAGAGUGCUGAAUCAAGGCCCCCAAGGAGUCCCCAUUCCAAUCCCCAGAAGCUGUGAACAUCUCAAUUGGCAAAAGGGACUCUGCGGUGUGACUAAGUGUGCAGGUAGGGGACAAGAUAUGAUGAGGGUCCUUAAGGAGGCCAAAGGAUCGAUGGGUGUCAGAGAGCUGGCAGCCUAAGGAAGACGUGACCAACCAUGGCUGGCUUUGAAGACGGAGGAAUGGACCAAGAAAAAAAAAAGGGGGAACGUGGGCUGACUCUAGAAGCUGGAAAAGGCAACAAAAUGGGGGAGCUGACCUUUUGCCUUCCUGCUGCAUGACCAGCUAACUAUGGAGGGUGCGG